CGAACGCUAGCGGGAUGCUUCAAACAUGCAAGUCGUACGCGAAAGUUCCCUUCGGGGAGCAAGUAGAGUGGCGCACGGGUGAGUAACACGUAGCUAACGUGCCCCCUCGCUGGGGAUAACCCCGGGAAACCGGGGCUAAUACCGAAUGAUCUGGAUGGGACCGAGGUCUUGUCUGGUAAAGCCGCAAGGCGCGAGGGGAUCGGGCUGCGGUCCAUUAGCUUGUUGGUGGGGUAAAAGCCUACCAAGGCGACGAUGGAUAGCUGGUCUGAGAGGAUGAUCAGUCACACUGGAACUGAAACACGGUCCAGACUCCCACGGGAGGCAGCAGUUGGGAAUAUUGGACAAUGGGCGCAAGCCUGAUCCAGCAAUCCCGCGUGAGUGAUGAAGGCCUUCGGGUCGUAAAGCUCUUUCAGCAGGGAAGAAAGGCAACUUGACGGUACCUGCAGAAGAAGCACCGGCUAACUCC
rnacentral:rRNA from 1 species